rnacentral:rRNA from 1 species
CGGAACGUGCCCGAUCGUGGGGGAUAACGGAGCGAAAGCUUUGCUAAUACCGCAUACGAUCUACGGAUGAAAGCAGGGGACCGCAAGGCCUUGCGCGGACGGAGCGGCCGAUGGCAGAUUAGGUAGUUGGUGGGAUAAAAGCUUACCAAGCCGACGAUCUGUAGCUGGUCUGAGAGGACGACCAGCCACACUGGGACUGAGACACGGCCCAGACUCCUACGGGAGGCAGCAGUGGGGAAUUUUGGACAAUGGGCGAAAGCCUGAUCCAGCCAUGCCGCGUGCAGGAUGAAGGCCUUCGGGUUGUAAACUGCUUUUGUACGGAACGAAAAGCCUCUUUCUAAUAAAGAGAGGUCAUGACGGUACCGUAAGAAUAAGCACCGGCUAACUACGUGCCAGCAGCCGCGGUAAUACGUAGGGUGCAAGCGUUAAUCGGAAUUACUGGGCGUAAAGCGUGCGCAGGCGGUGAUGUAAGACAGAUGUGAAAUCCCCGGGCUCAACCUGGGAACUGCAUUUGUGACUGCAUCGCUGGAGUGCGGCAGAGGGGGAUGGAAUUCCGCGU